AUUGAACGCUGGCGGCAGGCCUAACACAUGCAAGUCGAACGGUAACAGGAAACAGCUUGCUGUUUCGCUGACGAGUGGCGGACGGGUGAGUAAUGUCUGGGAAACUGCCUGAUGGAGGGGGAUAACUACUGGAAACGGUAGCUAAUACCGCAUAACGUCGCAAGACCAAAGAGGGGGACCCUCGGGCCUCUUGCCAUCGGAUGUGCCCAGAUGGGAUUAGCUUGUUGGUGGGGUAACGGCUCACCAAGGCGACGAUCCCUAGCUGGUCUGAGAGGAUGACCAGCCACACAGGAACUGAGACACGGUCCAGACUCCUACGGGAGGCAGCAGUGGGGAAUAUUGCACAAUGGGCGAAAGCCUGAUGCAGCCAUGCCGCGUGUAUGAAGAAGGCCUUCGGGUUGUAAAGUACUUUCAGCGGGGAGGAAGGGAGUAAAGUUAAUACCUUUGCUCAUUGACGUUACCCGCAGAAGAAGCACCGGCUAACUCCGUG
rnacentral:rRNA from 1 species